CCCUUUGAUCUUUUUUUUGAUAGCGAUUCUAAAUAAACUGAUGCAUUUCCAAAUAACGACAUAAAUUGAUUAGCUACAUUUAUAAAUUGGGUUGCAAUUUAGAGGAUCUACUUCCAUUACCAUAACAAUGGAAGUUCAUAAGCUUUUUGAGCAAAACAUAGUUUAUUGAAAGGUGCCUUAUAUAUGCACAGAAAUAUUACUUUACAAUCAAACUCCUCUUUGCGUAAUGGUCUAGUUUCCAAAUGACGGUGCUAGUGGAGGAGAUUUUCCAAACCAUGGUUCUGGUGGAGGAGAUUGAUAUACCGUCGGAUUAGGAAAAGGUGUUGGAGGAACCCGUCCGCCUUUCCUGGGUCUGCUCCCUGCUCUUCCUCCAAUCUUGAAGUUCAUGGUAUCUGCAAGGACUAUAUAUAUGUACAUGCACCAAACAGAACAAAUAAACUGUCAACACUAUUUUAUUUUAUUUUUUUCGUAAAUUACUUUUUCAUGAAAACAAGAUUGGCAUUUCAAUAAAAGUUACCUGAACUAGUUGUUUCGUAAUGAAAACCAUCGAGGAGGAGAAAGACGAUGAAGAUUGCGAGUAAUGACCUUGAAGAUUUCAUUGUUCCAAAAUUAUUAAGUAGCUAGAGGCCGGUAGAUAAAAAGGUUAGAUGUUUG
rnacentral:lncRNA from 1 species